rnacentral:lncRNA from 1 species
GGUCCAUGCGAUUUUGUAUCACGAUCCAUGGUGGUAAAGAAAUUUCUUACGGUCCACGUGGAGUUCUGUGGACUGGAGUGCAAUCAGAUGGCUGAGAGCUCAGCCGAUCGCAAUCGAAUGGUGGUGGGUGUGAUCUAGAGCUGAUCUAAAGAAUGGGAUGCUUGAUCAGGACACGAUCAAGCAGCCAGAAUGGCUUGCAGU